rnacentral:lncRNA from 1 species
UGGUGGUCUGAUCUUCCGAAAGGUUGUGGUAACUCUCGAUCUGGUGGACACAAGACACAAAUCGAUCCGGCUUCCGAACAACAUGAUCCGAAACCUUGCAAUUUUUUUAUUUUUUUUGAUAUUUUUCUUUUACUUAGGAGCACUAAAGAAGUAACCACGAAAAAUUUGAGCUUAAACAAGUGAAAGACGUGGCUUGUGGAAUUUUCUGAAGAUUGAGAAAAAUGUGAAAAAAACUUCACAAGGUGAAAACUCAAAGGUCGGAGGCAAAUUUGGAGAUUCCAAAAAUUUCAAACCCACCAAAGGCAUGGAGAGACAGAUCCAAAGUUUUUUUCUAAUCAAUUUUGAUAUAUGGAACGUUGAAAUCGAAGUUCGGAUGUGAAAGUUAUGGCUGUUUUACGAACGGACUCCAAAUUAGAGGACAAAACGGUCCGAAAGUAGGAAAAAUUUGCGGCAAUGGCUAGAAAUUGAUGGAAACGGUGAGGAAAAACAUAUGAACUGGACUCUAACAAGACCUAACCAACAAUAAGGCCUCGACCAGGACACAACUCAACAUUGUGGACUCUGAAACUGAAAUAUGCCAAGGCUAUGGCGCAGAAGGGUUGUAGGAUAGGAAAACGAUAUGGCACUGGACUUAUGGAACGAACACAAGAACACUCGAAACUAAGGGUAGAUGUCAACCUAAUGGUAUACCUGAAGCUUUGAUUACCACUUGAUGAGAACAAGGGAGGCCCAAUCUUCUGAAAGGUUCAGGUAACUCUCGAUUUGGUGGUGACGAGACACAAAUCGAUUCGGCUUCCAAACAACACGAUCCGAAACCCUACAAUUUUUUUAUUUUUUGAUAUUUUUCUUUUACUUCGGAGCAAUAAAGAAGUAAGCACAAAAAAAUUUAUGCUUAAACAAGUGAAAGACGUGGCCUGCAGAAUUUUCUGAAGAUUGCGAAAAAUGUGAAAAAAACUUCACAAGGUGAAAACUCAAAGGUCGGAGGCAAAUAUGGAGAUUCCAAAAUUUUCAAACCCACCAAAGGCAUGGAGAGACAGAUCCAAAAUUUUUUUCUAAUCAAUUUUGAUAUAUGGAACGUUGAAAUCAAAGUUCGGAUGUGAAAGUUCUGGCUG